rnacentral:lncRNA from 1 species
UUUUCUCUAGAUUAAAAAAUACUCUACAUAAGGCGCAUAAGAAAUUGUGCUGAGACUGUAAUGAUGUGAAACUAUAUCGACAACAGUAGAUAAAAUUUAUAGUAUAGGUGUUCAUAUCUCACAUACAUGAUUUUCCAUCAAAUAACUUUAGGCAAGGUUUAAAUCCUAGUGAAUCCAGUUAUUUGUUUCCUCUAUGACUUAGCUGACAGUUAUGUGCCUUUCAUAAAUUUGAAGAACAUCACUGAAUAGACUUAUAUUUAAGAGGAUGGUACAAACUUAUAGACUCUGAAUACCUUUUCAAUGGACAAAAUUCUGGAGUACUUCAUCUCAAAGUGAUAUACUUGCAGGUUGAAUCCUUUGUAUUGAAAGAGAAAAUAUUAAAGCUUACAAAAUUAUUCAAACUACUGUGGAAGGCUGGUAGUCUUCCUAAAUUUGAUAAGGUACGCAUCACAGUUUAGUGCAUCGGACUACCCUUUUUUAUCUUGACGAAAAAUAUAUAUCUGCAACAUGUUCCCAAAUGAUCUUGACGAGAUAUUUAAAAAGAAGGAGAUAAUAUUUUUCCACCCAGUAAAAGAGAGUAGCAUAGAACUAUUUGAUUUUAUUCAUUCUCAACUUAUUUCUCUAAGGUAAUAACAUACCUUGACAAACCAUUAUUUACCUUCAGACCUUCAGUGCAGCGGCAUAGGUUAACAAUCGAUCUAUGAGAAGUUGAAAAAAUCUACACUGAGCACAUUCACGCAGAUGCGGAGAUACGUUACAGUCUAGAAGGAACAAGAAUGACCACUGGAUUCGGAUCUAGAUCAAGGCUGACGA